rnacentral:lncRNA from 1 species
UAUGUAACAGAAUCAGGCCCUGGCGGUCAUAACUGCAGUACUACACAGGUCAGCAAAUGAGAUUGUUCACAUACACACUGAGGAACUCUCUUGUUAGUUGAGAAACAUCUCUUGGUUAUGGGAAAGCAAUUAUGGAUGAUAAGUGCAGCACUCACAUCAGUGCUGGCCGUGGCUGAGUGAACUCACUCCUUUCCAGUGCCGUGAGUCCAGGACCACCGGGAGGAAGGAAGAUCUGAAACUUUCCCAGAAAACCAUUUCCAAAAACAGUGAUGUUCUAUGAGAGAUUCCAUGCUGAGAGAUCAUUCCUUCCAAUUGCCUGACUGUUCCUCCAAAAACUUUGCCUCAUCACCUCCCAUUUAUUGUGGCACUUGCUGUGUGUAAUAAGAAUGAAGGAGGUUCGCACAUUUGGAGCAGCUCCUGCACAUCUCUACACAUCUCACUGAGCUCCCCAAGUGCAGAGGAGCAGGCAGCUCCUGCUUCAUCCCCCCUUGAAGUACACCAGGGUACUUCAGCAGCGCUGACUUUCACCCCGCUUUGAAGGCAGGAUACACAGUGUGAAGGCUGUAUCAGUUUUUCCUGUUCUUCAGUCUGAGAUGGCUAUUGCAGUGAAGUGGUUGUUACUUGCGGUGCCUUUUUGGAGUGUUCCAGCCAAUUAAAGGAGAUAUUGAAUGUGGUGAGAAAAUCAUUGGCCACUGAAACGAAGCUGCCGCCAAUGAAUUAUUUACCUCGAAGACUUCAGCCAGCUCUGUCAAUAACCUUUGGGGAAGCUCCAGCUGAUGUGCCGACAGAACAGCAUGGGCACACGGUGCUUGGCCACUGGAAGAAUCUGGCACACGAACUAAACUUUGGAGCCUUUGUUUGCCCUUGGCAUGUCUGCUUUGGAGUUUUGUGCCAAGAAGGCACCACAGAGCCUCCAGAAAAUUAGAA